UAAACUCAGAUCAUGUAAAAUUUUAAAGGUCGAACAGACCUAAUUUAUUAGCUUCUACACCAAUAAUUUAUUUUAAUCCAACAUCGAGGUCGCAAUCUUUUUUUUCGAUAAGAACUCUAAAAAAAAUAACGCUGUUAUCCCUAAGGUAAUUUCUUCCUGUAAUCUAAAUUCUAGGAUCAAAUAUUCAUAAAUAAAUGUUCUCGCUAAAAAAAAGUUAAUCUAGUUUUUUUAUCACCCCAACAAAAUACCACCUUUAAUUAAAAUAACUCAUAAUUCUAAAUAUUAAUUUAAUUAAUGUAUAUAAAACUCUAUAGGGUCUUCUCGUCUUCUAUACUCAUUUAAGCUUUUUAACUUAAAAAUAAAAUUCAAAUUAAUUUUCAUAGAGACAGAAAUCUUCUCAUCAAACCUUUCAUUCCAGCUUUCAAUUAAAAAACUAAUGAUUAUGCUACCUUUGCACGGUCAAUAUACCGCGGCCAUUCAACUACUCAUUGGGCAGGUCAGACUUAAAAUUAUUAUCAAUAAGCC
rnacentral:rRNA from 1 species